UACGAAGGGGGCUAGCGUUGCUCGGAAUCACUGGGCGUAAAGGGUGCGUAGGCGGGUUUUUAAGUCAGGGGUGAAAUCCUGGAGCUCAACUCCAGAACUGCCUUUGAUACUGAAGAUCUUGAGUCCGGGAGAGGGAUGUGGAAUUCCAGGUGUAGCGGUGAAAUGCGUAGAUAUCUGGAGGAACACCGGUGGCGAAGGCGGCAUCCUGGACCGGUAUUGACGCUGAGGCGCGAAAGCCAGGGGAGCAAAAGGG
rnacentral:rRNA from 1 species